UCAAAGCACACUUGUUGCCUUUAGUUAUGCUUGUAAGUUUUUGUUGAAAGGUUGGCGUGUGGGAGUGAGAACUACAAUAAAUGGGUCAACAUACGCAGCUGAAAGACUCUGGGAGCGGGAGGAGCUUCACAGUCUCUCUCUCUCCUGGGAACCUCCUGGUUGUCCCUGCCACUCCCGGUGGAACAAGAUGGCUGCAGUGCCCUAGUGAGAGCAAGCUACAGCUUCCAACCAGUCCUGCAGCUCACAAGGCGACAGCUACCCAACAGUGCACCACAGGACCAGUGGUUUUGGUUAUUGCAUUUUGUGAUUUCAUAUCCAUUGAACAAUAAAAUGCAGGAAUCAGUCAA